rnacentral:rRNA from 1 species
GAUGAACGCUGGCGGCGUGCCUAAUACAUGCAAGUCGAGCGAACAGACGAGGAGCUUGCUCCUUUGACGUUAGCGGCGGACGGGUGAGUAACACGUGGGUAACCUACCUAUAAGACUGGAAUAACUCCGGGAAACCGGAGCUAAUGCCGGAUAACAUUUAGAACCGCAUGGUUCGAAAGUGAAAGAUGGCUUUGCUAUCACUUAUAGAUGGACCCGCGCCGUAUUAGCUAGUUGGUAAGGUAACGGCUUACCAAGGCAACGAUACGUAGCCGACCUGAGAGGGUGAUCGGCCACACUGGAACUGAGACACGGUCCAGACUCCUACGGGAGGCAGCAGUAGGGAAUCUUCCGCAAUGGGCGAAAGCCUGACGGAGCAACGCCGCGUGAGUGAUGAAGGUCUUCGGAUCGUAAAACUCUGUUAUUAGGGAAGAACAAAUGUGUAAGUAACUGUGCACGUCUUGACGGUACCUAAUCAGAAAGCCACGGCUAACUACGUG